rnacentral:tRNA from 1 species
ACUUCAGUAGCUUAAACAACAAAGCAUUGGUCUUGUAAACCAAAGAAUGAAGAACCCCAAUCCUCCUGAAGUA